rnacentral:rRNA from 1 species
GAUGAACGCUGGCGGCGUGCCUAAUACAUGCAAGUAGAACGCUGAAGGAAGGAGCUUGCUCUUUCCGGAUGAGUUGCGAACGGGUGAGUAACGCGUAGGUAACCUGCCUGGUAGCGGGGGAUAACUAUUGGAAACGAUAGCUAAUACCGCAUAACAGUAGAUGUUGCAUGAUAUCUACUUAAAAGGUGCAAUUGCACCACUACCAGAUGGACCUGCGUUGUAUUGGCUAGUUGGUGAGGUAACGGCUCACCAAGGCGACGAUACAUAGCCGACCUGAGAGGGUGAUCGGCCACACUGGGACUGAGACACGGCCCAGACUCCUACGGGAGGCAGCAGUAGGGAAUCUUCGGCAAUGGACGGAAGUCUGACCGAGCAACGCCGCGUGAGUGAAGAAGGUUUUCGGAUCGUAAAGCUCUGUUGUAAGAGAAGAACGAGUGUGAGAGUGGAAAGUUCACACUGUGACGGUAUCUUACCAGAAAGGGACGGCUAACUACGUG